GAUGAACGCUGGCGGCGUGCCUAAUACAUGCAAGUCGAGCGAACAGACGAGGAGCUUGCUCCUCUGACGUUAGCGGCGGACGGGUGAGUAACACGUGGAUAACCUACCUAUAAGACUGGGAUAACUUCGGGAAACCAGAGCUAAUACCGGAUAAUAUAUUUAACCACAUGGUUCAAUAGUGAAAGACGGUUUUGCUGUCACUUAUGGAUGGAUCCGCGCCGCAUUAGCUAGUUGUUAAGGUAACGGCUUACCAAGGCAACGGUGCGUAGCCGACCUGAGAGGGUGAUCGGCAACCCGGGAACGGGGACACGGUCCAGACUCCUACGGGAGGCAGCAGUAGGGAAUCUUCCGCAAUGGGCGAAAGCCUGACGGAGCAACGCCGCGUGAGGGAUGAAGGUCUUCGGACCGUAAAACUCUGUUAUUAGGGAAGAACAAAUGUGUAAGUAACUAUGCACGUCUUGACGGUACCUAAUCAGAAAGCCACGGCUAACUACGUG
rnacentral:rRNA from 1 species